AACGAACGCUGGCGGCAGGCCUAACACAUGCAAGUCGAACGCCCCGCAAGGGGAGUGGCAGACGGGUGAGUAACGCGUGGGAACCUACCUAGAGGUGCGGAAUAGCCCAGGGAAACUUGGAGUAACACCGCAUAAGCCCGCAAGGGGAAAGAUUUAUCGCCUUUAGAUGGGCCCGCGUCUGAUUAGCUAGUUGGUGAGGUAAUGGCUCACCAAGGCGACGAUCAGUAGCUGGUUUGAGAGAAUGACCAGCCACACUGGGACUGAGACACGGCCCAGACUCCUACGGGAGGCAGCAGUGGGGAAUCUUGGACAAUGGGGGCAACCCUGAUCCAGCCAUGCCGCGUGAGCGACGAAGGCCUUAGGGUUGUAAAGCUCUUUUGGCGGGGACGAUAAUGACGGUACCCGCAGAAUAAGUCCCGGCUAACUUCGUG
rnacentral:rRNA from 1 species